rnacentral:rRNA from 1 species
GAGUUUGAUCCUGGCUCAGGAUGAACGCUGGCGGCGUGCUUAACACAUGCAAGUCGAACGGGGUACCCCCAAAGGAGUUUUCGGACAACUGCGGGGAAUACCUAGUGGCGGACGGGUGAGUAACGCGUGAGUAACCUGCCUUGGAGUGGGGAAUAACAGCUGGAAACAGCUGCUAAUACCGCAUAAUGCAGUUGGGUCGCAUGGCUCUGACUGCCAAAGAUUUAUCGCUCUGAGAUGGACUCGCGUCUGAUUAGCUAGUUGGUGGGGCAACGGCCCACCAAGGCAACGAUCAGUAGCCGGACUGAGAGGUUGGCCGGCCACAUUGGGACUGAGACACGGCCCAGACUCCUACGGGAGGCAGCAGUGGGGAAUAUUGGGCAAUGGGCGCAAGCCUGACCCAGCAACGCCGCGUGAAGGAAGAAGGCUUUCGGGUUGUAAACUUCUUUUCUCAGGGACGAAGCAAGUGACGGUACCUGAGGAAUAAGCCACGGCUAACUACGUGCCAGCAGCCGCGGUAAUACGUAGGUGG